GACGAACGCUGGCGGCGUGCUUAACACAUGCAAGUCGAACGGAAAGGCCCUGCUUUUGUGGGGUGCUCGAGUGGCGAAAGGGUGAGUAACACGUGAGUAACCUGCCCUUGACUUUGGGAUAACUUCAGGAAACUGGGGCUAAUACCGGAUAGGAGCUCCUGCUGCAUGGUGGGGGUUGGAAAGUUUCGGCGGUUGGGGAUGGACUCGCGGCUUAUCAGCUUGUUGGUGGGGUAGUGGCUUACCAAGGCUUUGACGGGUAGCCGGCCUGAGAGGGUGACCGGCCACAUUGGGACUGAGAUACGGCCCAGACUCCUACGGGAGGCAGCAGUGGGGAAUAUUGCACACUGGGCGGAAGCCUGAUGCAGCAACGCCGCGUGCGGGAUGACGGCCUUCGGGUUGUAAACCGCUUUCGCCUGUGACGAAGCGUGAGUGACGGUAAUGGGUAAAGAAGCACCGGCUAACUACGUG
rnacentral:rRNA from 1 species